rnacentral:rRNA from 1 species
UACGUAGGGGGCAAGCGUUGUCCGGAAUCAUUGGGCGUAAAGCGCGUGUAGGCGGCUCGAUAAGUCUGCUGUGAAAGUCCAGGCUCAACCCUGGGAUGCCGGUGGAUACUGUCGAGCUCGAGUCCGGAAGAGGCGAGUGGAAUUCCUGGUGUAGCGGUGAAAUGCGCAGAUAUCAGGAGGAACACCAAUGGCGAAGGCAGCUCGCUGGGACGUGACUGACGCUGAGACGCGAAAGCGUGGGGAGCAAACAGG